rnacentral:rRNA from 1 species
UACAGAGGUCUCAAGCGUUGUUCGGAUUCAUUGGGCGUAAAGGGUGCGUAGGUGGCGCGUUAAGUCAGGUGUGAAAUUUCGGAGCUUAACUGCGAAACUGCAUUUGAUACUGGCGUGCUUGAGGACUGGAGAGGAGACUGGAAUUCAUGGUGUAGCAGUGAAAUGCGUAGAGAUCAUGAGGAAGACCAGUGGCGAAGGCGGGUCUCUGGACAGUUCCUGACACUGAGGCGCGAAGGCCAGGGGAGCAAACGGG